UACGUAGGUGACCAGCGUUGUCCGGAUUUACUGGGCGUAAAGAGCGCGCAGGCGGUCGUUCAAGUCGAGUGUGAAAGCCCCCGGCUCAACUGGGGAGGGUCAUUCGAUACUGAUCGACUUGAAGGCAGGAGAGGGAAGUGGAAUUCCCGGUGUAGUGGUGAAAUGCGUAGAUAUCAGGAGGAACACCAGUGGCGAAGGCGACUUCCUGGCCUGUUCUUGACGCUGAGGCGCGAAAGCUAGGGGAGCAAACGGG
rnacentral:rRNA from 1 species